CGCUGGCGGCAGGCCUAACACAUGCAAGUCGAACGGUAACAGAAAGCAGCUUGCUGCUUUGCUGACGAGUGGCGGACGGGUGAGUAAUGUCUGGGAAACUGCCCGAUGGAGGGGGAUAACUACUGGAAACGGUAGCUAAUACCGCAUAACGUCGCAAGACCAAAGAGGGGGACCUUCGGGCCUCUUGCCAUCGGAUGUGCCCAGAUGGGAUUAGCUAGUAGGUGGGGUAAAGGCUCACCUAGGCGACGAUCCCUAGCUGGUCUGAGAGGAUGACCAGCCACACUGGAACUGAGACACGGUCCAGACUCCUACGGGAGGCAGCAGUGGGGAAUAUUGCACAAUGGGCGCAAGCCUGAUGCAGCCAUGCCGCGUGUAUGAAGAAGGCCUUCGGGUUGUAAAGUACUUUCAGCGGGGAGGAAGGGAGUAAAGUUAAUACCUUUGCUCAUUGACGUUACCCGCAGAAGAAGCACCGGCCAACUCCGUGCCAGCAGCCGCGGUAAUACCGAGGGUGCCAGCGUUAAUCGGAAUUACUGGGCGUAAAGCGCACGCAGGCGGUUUGCUAAGUCCCAUGUGAAAUCCCCCGGGCUCAACCUGGGAACGGCAUCUGAUACUGGCAAGCUUGAGUCUCGUAGAGGGGGGUAGAAUUCCAGGUGUAGCGGUGAAAUGCGUAGAGAUCUGGAGGAAUACCGGUGGCGAAGGCGGCCCCCUGGACGAAGACUGACGCUCAGGUGCGAAAGCGUGGGGAGCAAACAGGAUUAGAUACCCUGGUAGUCCACGCCGUAAACGAUGUCGACUUGGAGGUUGUGCCCUUGAGGCGUGGCUUCCGGAGCUAACGCGUUAAGUCGACCGCCUGGGGAGUACGGUCGCAAGGUUAAAACUCAAAUGAAUUGACGGGGGCCCGCACAAGCGGUGGAGCAUGUGGUUUAAUUCGAUGCAACGCGAAGAACCUUACCUGGUCUUGACAUCCACGGAAGUUUUCAGAGAUGAGAAUGUGCCUUCGGGAACCGUGAGACAGGUGCUGCAUGGCUGUCGUCAGCUCGUGUUGUGAAAUGUUGGGUUAAGUCCCGCAACGAGCGCAACCCUUAUCCUUUGUUGCCAGCGGUCCGGCCGGGAACUCAAAGGAGACUGCCAGUGAUAAACUGGAGGAAGGUGGGGAUGACGUCAAGUCAUCAUGGCCCUUACGACCAGGGCUACACACGUGCUACAAUGGCGCAUACAAAGAGAAGCGACCUCGCGAGAGCAAGCGGACCUCAUAAAGUGCGUCGUAGUCCGGAUUGGAGUCUGCAACUCGACUCCAUGAAGUCGGAAUCGCUAGUAAUCGUGGAUCAGAAUGCCACGGUGAAUACGUUCCCGGGCCUUGUACACACCGCCCGUCACACCAUGGGAGUGGGUUGCAAAAGAAGUAGGUAGCUUAACCUUCGGGAGGGCGCUUACCACUUUGUGAUUCAUGACUGGGGUGAAGUC
rnacentral:rRNA from 1 species